AAUAUUGGACAAUGGGCGAAAGCCUGAUCCAGCCAUCACGCGUGUAUGAUGAAGGCCUUCGGGUUGUACAGUACUUUUGGCAGCGAAGAAACGGUAUCUCCUAACACGAGAUACUGCUGACGGUAUCUGCAGAAUAAGCACCGGCUAACUACGUGCCAGCUGCCGCGGUAAUACGUAGGGUGCAAGCGUUAAUCGGAAUUAAUGGGCGUAAAGCGUGUGUAGGCGGUUCGGAAAGAAAGAUGUGAAAUCCCAGGGCUCAACCUUGGAACUGCAUUUUUAACUGCCGAGCUAGAGUAUGUCAGAGGGGGGUAGAAUUCCACGUGUAGCAGUGGAAUGCGUAGAUAUGUGGAGGAAUACCGAUGGCGAAGGCAGCCCCCUGGGAUAAUACUGACGCUCAGACACGAAAGCGUGGGUAGCAAACAGG
rnacentral:rRNA from 1 species